GUUGAACGCUAGCGGGGUGCUUAACACAUGCAAGUCGAACGGACGCGCGGACAUCGUUCUGGUGGCGUGUGACGGACGGAUGAGUAAUGAAUCGGUACGUGCCCUAUCUCGGGGGCUGACUAAGCGAAAGCGUACCUAAUCUAGCACACGCUCAACGGUUGAAACGAAGGGUUCGUAAGACAUUGCAGGUUUUGCGGUGACGAAUCCGGAUUAGCUAGUUGGUAAGGUAACGGCUUACCAAGGCGACGAUCCGUAGCAGGCUUGAGAGGCCGACCGGCCACACUGGGACUGAGACACGGCCCAGACUCCUACGGGAGGCAGCAGUAGGGAAUCUUGCGCAAUGGGCGCAACCCUGACCCAGCCAUCCCGCGUGUGUGAUGAAGGCCUUCGGGUUGUAAAACACUUUUGGCAGGGAAGAAACGAUGUGGACGUAUACGCCGAGAAACUGACGGUACCUGCAGAAUAAGCAACGGCUAACUACGUG
rnacentral:rRNA from 1 species